UACAGAGGUCUCAACCGUUGUUCGGAUUCAUUGGGCGUAAAGGGUGCGUAGGCGGUCGCGCAAGUCGGAUGUGAAAUCUUGGGGCUCAACCCCGAAACUGCAUUCGAUACUGCGUGGCUCGAGUACUGGAGAGGAGACGUGGAAUUUACGGUGUAGCAGUGAAAUGCGUAGAUAUCGAGAGGAACACCGGUGGCGAAGGCGGCCUUCUGGACAGUGACUGACGCUGAGACGCGAAAGCGUGGGGAGCAAACAGG
rnacentral:rRNA from 1 species